CACCAAUACUACCAAUAGUAGUUAUAAAGCCUAACUCAUGUAUAUCCAGAUUACCAUCUAUGUUCUUCCUCCAAACCCAUUUUAUGAUUGGGAUUACAGGCAGUUCUUUAGGACUGCUCUCAAAUAAUUGAAAUGUUACUAAACAAGGUUAUACUUAUCAAAUUAAAUAGCUCUGGUCUCCAGUAUAUUGGCGAAUUCGGUUCUUUGUACUUAAUUUAUUAGCAUGAUUUCUUUUUAAUAUGUUGUGUACAGACUUAAUUACUUCUCUGUCUACUUUUGUUACUCCAUGUAGGUUUCCCAGAGACUAUGGGUUGAGGAGGAAGUGGAAGUUUGUCGGCUUAGACCUGGUGUCAUUCCAUCAGUGUUAAACUUCCCGGCUCAUCUUGGAAGAGUAUGUGCCAGAAAGACCACGACCAAGCAGCCUUGAGAUCUUAGGCAGCGUCUCCCUGAGGUCCCUCUCUGUCUCCCCACACAUCCACCAACCACUGGAACACAUCUCCAAAGUUCUGCUGGGCCAGCUCAGCUUCCCCUCAGAAGAAGUGCCGCCACCUGCCAGAUGAAGGAGCCUUUUGAGAGGCAGCUGGCAUCGUGAUUGGACUGUACUUUGGUCUGUUCCAAUCCAGCUUCAGCUCCAGAGACAGCAGGCGGGACGAGUCAGCGGAGGCCGGAUGGACGAAGACAUGCAGCUGAGUACAAUCCAGAAAACAACAGAGGAGGAGUGCAGCGGCCCAGAGCCAGAACAAACAGAGUAUGUCUCUUAGAAAACAUCAUAGUAUAGCCUUUGGUAUGAAAAAACGCCAUCAUAUACAUCAUAUAUUGUACAAAUAACAAGUCAAAGGAAAGAGACAUACAUUGUAGAAUUGUAGUAAUUGUGGGCUGACUGAUUUACUGAUUAUCAGUAUUUUAUUUUUUACUGAUUUACGGUAAUAAAUACAUUUAAAAAUGG